AACGAACGCUGGCGGCAGGCCUAACACAUGCAAGUCGAGCGGACCUUUCGGGGUCAGCGGCGGACGGGGGUGUAACGCGUGGGAAUAUGCCCUUCUCUACGGAAUAGCUCUGGGAAACUGGGGGUAAUACCGUAUACGCGCUUUGGGGGAAAGAUUUAUCGGGGCAGGAUUAGCCCGCGUGGGAUUCGGUCGUGGGGGGGGUAAUGGCAUACUACGCGGACGAUCCAUAGCUGGUUUGAGAGGAAGAUCAGCGACACUGGGAGUGAGACGCGGCCCAGACUCUUACGGGAGGCAGCAGUGGGGGAUCUUGGACAAUGGGGGCAACCCUGAUGUAGCCAUGACGGGUGAGUGAUGAAGGCCUUAGGGUUGUAAAGCUCUUUCAGCUGGGAAGAUAAUGACGGUACCAGCAGAAGAAGCCCCGGCUAACUCCGUG
rnacentral:rRNA from 1 species